rnacentral:rRNA from 1 species
GAUGAACGCUGGCGGCGUGCCUAAUACAUGCAAGUCGAGCGAACGGACGAGAAGCUUGCUUCUCAGAUGUUAGCGGCGGACGGGUGAGUAACACGUGGAUAACCUACCUAUAAGACUGGGAUAACUUCGGGAAACCGGAGCUAAUACCGGAUAAUAUUUUGAACCGCAUGGUUCAAAAGUGAAAGACGGUCUUGCUGUCACUUAUAGAUGGAUCCGCGCUGCAUUAGCUAGUUGGUAAGGUAACGGCUUACCAAGGCAACGAUGCAUAGCCGACCUGAGAGGGUGAGCGGCCACACUGGAACUGCGACACGGUCCGGACGCCUACGGGAGGCAGCAGUAGGGAAUCUUCCGCGAUGGGCGAAAGCCUGACGGAGCAACGCCGCGUGAGUGAUGAAGGUCUUCGGAUCGUAAAACUCUGUUAUUAGGGAAGAACAUAUGUGUAAGUAACUGUUCACAUCUUGACGGUACCUAAUCAGAAAGCCACGGCUAACUACGUG